AAUGCACCUAAGUAUACGUUGGUGAACCAAUGACUCCAUUGGGGUGACUUAGAAGGAGCACAGCACUCAGCAUUUGGAGGAUAUUUGGAAGAUGAGAAUGAGACCUCCCUCUGAACAUGGAGUUGCCAGUCUGUAGAUGAAGAAACCGGCUUCACAGGUUCACUUCCUGCCCAUUCAUUAGGGGCCAGUGUUACAUGAUGCUUUCUGCAAUUUGAUGGUUUUGACUUCAUUUCCUGGAUUUCUGGG